AUUGAACGCUGGCGGCAGGCUUAACACAUGCAAGUCGAACGGUGACCCUCGGAGCUUGCUUCGGGGUGAGCAGUGGCGAACGGGUGAGUAACACGUGAGUAACCUGCCCCUGACUCUGGAAUAAGCGCUGGAAACGGCGUCUAAUACCGGAUACGACACGCCUCCGCAUGGGGAGCGUGUGGAAAGUUUUUCGGUCUGGGAUGGACUCGCGGCCUAUCAGCUUGUUGGUGAGGUAAUGGCUCACCAAGGCGAUGACGGGUAGCCGGCCUGAGAGGGCGACCGGCCACACUGGGACUGAGACACGGCCCAGACUCCUACGGGAGGCAGCAGUGGGGAAUAUUGCACAAUGGGCGAAAGCCUGAUGCAGCGACGCCGCGUGAGGGAUGACGGCCUUCGGGUUGUAAACCUCUUUCAGCAGGGAAGAAGCGAAAGUGACGGUACCUGCAGAAGAAGCACCGGCUAACUACGUGCCAGCCGCCGCGGUAACAC
rnacentral:rRNA from 1 species